rnacentral:rRNA from 1 species
UACAGAGCUGGAGUACAGGAGAGGAGAGCGGAAUUCUCGGUGUAGCGGUGAAAUGCGUAGAUAUCGAGAGGAAACACCGGUGGCGAAGGCGGCUCUCUGGACUGAUACUGACGCUGAGGCACGAAAGCUGGGAGAGCAAACAGGAUUAGAUACCCUGGUAGUCCCAGCCCUAAACGGUGUGCACUUGGUGUGGGGAGGAUUGUCCCUUCCUGUGCCGGAGCUAACGCGUUAAGUGCACCGCCUGGGGAGUACGGUCGCAAGAUUAAAACUCAAAGGAAUUGACGGGGGCCCGCACAAGCGGUGGAGCAUGUGGCUUAAUUCGAUGCAACGCGAAGAACCUUACCUGGGCUUGACAUGCUGGUAGUAGAAACCUGAAAGGGUGACGAGCCCGCAAGGGAAGCCAGCACAGGUGCUGCAUGGCUGUCGUCAGCUCGUGCCGUGGGGUGUUAGGUUAAGUCCUGCAACGAGCGCAACCCCUGUGGUUAGUUGCUACAUUCGGUGAUGAAUCGGACAGCACUCUAAUCAGACUGCCUGUGAAAAGCAGGAGGAAGGUGGGGAUGACGUCAAGUCAGUAUGGUCCUUAUGUCCAGGGCUGCACACGUGCUACAAUGAUCGGUACAGAAGGAUGCAAAACCGCGAGGUGGAGCAAAUCCCCAAAACCGAUCUCAGUUCGGAUUGAAGGCUGCAACUCGCCUUCAUGAAGCUGGAAUCGCUAGUAAUGGCGCAUCAGCUACGGCGCCGUGAAUACGUUCCCGGGCCUUGUACACACCGCCCGU